CAGUAGCCGCGGUAAUACGGAGGGGGCUAGCGUUGUUCGGAAUUACUGGGCGUAAAGCGCACGUAGGCGGCUUGGUAAGUUAGAGGUGAAAGCCCGGAGCUCAACUCCGGAAUUGCCUUUAAGACUGCCGAGCUAGCAGGUGAGAGAGGUAAGUGGAAUUCCGAGUGUAGAGGUGAAAUUCGUAGAUAUUUGGAAGAACACCAGUGGCGAAGGCGGCUUACUGGCUCAUACUGGACGCUGAGGUGCGAAAGCGUGGGGAGCAAACAGGAUUAGAUACCCCUGUAGUCCCUGUCUCUUAUAC
rnacentral:rRNA from 1 species